rnacentral:rRNA from 1 species
AGCGAACGCUGGCGGCAGGCCUAACACAUGCAAGUCGAACGAACUCUUCGGAGUUAGUGGCGGACGGGUGAGUAACACGUGGGAACGUGCCUUUUGGUUCGGAAUAACUCAGGGAAACUUGUGCUAAUACCGAAUGUGCCCUUCGGGGGAAAGAUUUAUCGCCAUUAGAGCGGCCCGCGUCUGAUUAGCUAGUUGGUAGGGUAACGGCUCACCAAGGCGACGAUCAGUAGCUGGUCUGAGAGGAUGACCAGCCACACUGGGACUGAGACACGGCCCAGACUCCUACGGGAGGCAGCAGUGGGGAAUCUUGCGCAAUGGGCGAAAGCCUGACGCAGCCAUGCCGCGUGAAUGAUGAAGGUCUUAGGAUUGUAAAAUUCUUUCACCGGGGACGAUAAUGACGGUACCCGGAGAAGAAGCCCCGGCUAACUUCGUG